UGUUAGGCACUGUACGAACCUGUGAGAGUAUGAUUACGCAGAGUCCACAGCGAUAACUGCACGUGUAUCCGGUGGAACCACUGGAGGCAGAAAUACCGCUUAUCUAAAUUCGCAUAUAAUCCAGCAGUAACAAUAUUUCGCAGGAAGAGCAGUUAAAAGCUUGACGAUGUUGUGAACUACAUUCUAUCACGGCAUGGUGCCUUCCCGAGUGUGUAAAGAGAUUCUCAUGGAUGAUGGCUGCUAGUGCGGUUACAGUGUUCCAGUGUGCGUAGAAUUUCGGUGUAUUUCUGAAAAAAGUGAAUGAGGGGCAAGUAAGUCGGUGCUUAAGACUUCUCGUCCUGGGAUCGUGAGCUGGAGGGAAACUGCACUGAUUGACUGCGGGGG